UGGGGAAUAUUGCACAAUGGGCGCAAGCCUGAUGCAGCCAUGCCGCGUGUAUGAAGAAGGCCUUCGGGUUGUAAAGUACUUUCAGCGGGGAGGAAGGUGUUGAGGUUAAUAACCUCAGCAAUUGACGUUACCCGCAGAAGAAGCACCGGCUAACUCCGUGCCAGCAGCCGCGGUAAUACGGAGGGGGCAAGCGAUAAUCGGAAUUACUGGGCGUAAAGCGCACGCAGGCGGUCUGUCAAGUCGGAUGUGAAAUCCCCGGGCUCAACCUGGGAACUGCAUUCGAAACUGGCAGGCUAGAGUCUUGUAGAGGGGGGUAGAAUUCCAGGUGUAGCGGUGAAAUGCGUAGAGAUCUGGAGGAAUACCGGUGGCGAAGGCGGCCCCCUGGACAAAGACUGACGCUCAGGUGCGAAAGCGUGGGGAGCAAACA
rnacentral:rRNA from 1 species